AUUGAACGCUGGCGGCAGGCCUAACACAUGCAAGUCGAGCGGAUGAGGGGAGCUUGCUCCUGGAUUCAGCGGCGGACGGGUGAGUAAUGCCUAGGAAUCUGCCUGGUAGUGGGGGAUAACGUCCGGAAACGGGCGCUAAUACCGCAUACGUCCUGAGGGUGAAAGUGGGGGAUCUUCGGACCUCACGCUAUCAGAUGAGCCUAGGUCGGAUUAGCUAGUUGGCGGGGUAAAGGCCUACCAAGGCGACGAUCCGUAACUGGUCUGAGAGGAUGAUCAGUCACACUGGAACUGAGACACGGUCCAGACUCCUACGGGAGGCAGCAGUGGGGAAUAUUGGACAAUGGGCGAAAGCCUGAUCCAGCCAUGCCGCGUGUGUGAAGAAGGUCUUCGGAUUGUAAAGCACUUUAAGUUGGGAGGAAGGGCAGUAAGUUAAUACCUUGCUGUUUUGACGUUACCAACAGAAUAAGCACCGGCUAACUUCGUG
rnacentral:rRNA from 1 species